rnacentral:pre_miRNA from 1 species
CUAACUAAAAUUUGUAUGCAGUUGGAACAGCGCCUCUAGCGGCAAACGUAGGCAAACGUUCCAAUUCCAUACAAAUUUGAGUUA